rnacentral:rRNA from 1 species
UACGGAGGGGGCUAGCGUUGUUCGGAAAUACUGGGCGUAAAGCGAACGUAGGCGGCUUGGCAAGUCAGGGGUGAAAUCCCAGUGCUCAACACUGGAACUGCCUUUGAAACUGCCAGGCUUGAAUCCUGGAGAGGCGAGUGGAAUUCCGAGUGUAGAGGUGAAAUUCGUAGAUAUUCGAAAGAACACCAGUGGCGAAGGCGACUCGCUGGACAGGUAUUGACGCUGAGGUUCGAAAGCGUGGGGAGCAAACAGG